AGGGUAAGCCUUUUAAUCACCCAUUAAUGCAGUGAUCUCUGUUUUCUUUCUUUUGUACUGAGGCUGUUUAAGAACCGCUUCAUUAUGAAUUAGAAGCUCAUGCUCAACAUAUGGAGGCUCUUUCUGUUAGUGGCUGGGAGCUGAAAUACGUUUGCAUUUUUUUGAAUGUUAGCAAUUUAUAAAGCACUCACAUCUUUUUACAAGUAUAGUGAAGAUGAUGCCAUUUCAACAUUCUAAGUAUAGCAUUAUGAACUUUCUCGAGAAUUUUAGCAUUCACCAUAUAGUUAGGUGGCCAUCUGAACGUGAAGAAUGUACUUCUCCUGAAUACUAGUCACAACCUCUGUGCUAACUCGAUAUCAUUAUUUUGGUUGAAA
rnacentral:lncRNA from 1 species